rnacentral:rRNA from 1 species
CGGUCUUGCUGUCACUUAUAGAUGGAUCCGCGCUGCAUUAGCUAGUUGGUAAGGUAACGGCUUACCAAGGCAACGAUGCAUAGCCGACCUGAGAGGGUGAUCGGCCACACUGGAACUGAGACACGGUCCAGACUCCUACGGGAGGCAGCAGUAGGGAAUCUUCCGCAAUGGGCGAAAGCCUGACGGAGCAACGCCGCGUGAGUGAUGAAGGUCUUCGGAUCGUAAAACUCUGUUAUUAGGGAAGAACAUAUGUGUAAGUAACUGUGCACAUCUUGACGGUACCUAAUCAGAAAGCCACGGCUAACUACGUGCCAGCAGCCGCGGUAAUACGUAGGUGGCAAGCGUUAUCCGGAAUUAUUGGGCGUAAAGCGCGCGUAGGCGGUUUUUUAAGUCUGAUGUGAAAGCCCACGGCUCAACCGUGGAGGGUCAUUGGAAACUGGAAAACUUGAGUGCAGAAGAGGAAAGUGGAAUUCCAUGUGUAGCGGUGAAAUGCGCA